GGCUUUGGCGGCCAGAGGGAGCUCUGCCAACUGACCAGUGAGGAGGUCCCCAAGGAUGGGUUCAAGGGGCUGAAGAGCAGCAGCUGAAGAUCAGAGGCAACUUGAAAUGGGCCAGCGUGCUGUGCGUGUGAAGUGGAAAGAAAAAGAAUAAUCCUUCUGAAAAGGUAACACUGUCUCAGGGCCAGCGACAUCUUGGGAAGUAACUUGCUCAGGCCGUGGACUGCGAGGCCGAGUGCAGGACGAGUCGAUCUGUAGAACUAUGGCACUGUGACGCACCGUAGCGGGCCGGGCCACACUGGAUCCUGCAGGCACUUUGCAGUGGGCCACAGGACCGUGAAGGAUGACAGGAGCCAGUGAGAUCCGGAUACUCCUCCCUCCUUCGACCCAAGAGAACACAGCAGACAAUGCAAAGAGCCUUAAAGGCUUAGAAAACUGUAGCUAAGAGGCACUAAGGGAGAAGAGUUUAAUCCAGUUCCGAUGUUUAACAGAGAAAGAGUGAGGGGUUUUCAUGGGUCCAAUCUCAAGCAUUCUUUUGAGGAAGGAAAGGAACCAAAGUAGUGUAGCAUAACGCAGCCAGUCUGGAGGAAAUACUUAUUGGUCACCUGGCUCCUUGGAGGCACAACCCUGGAACAUGAGACUCAGGAGAAUGCACAGUCUGGAGAAAAAGGGGCCAUGGAGACGUAACGCUUUUCUCUAGCCCAGGAGGUCGGGAAGGGGCAUGGAAAGGAGCUUUAAGCCGAGCUCUGAAGAUGAGGAAGUGGACUCCGGGUGCCAGAGGCUCAGGGAGGAAACGCUGAGCAGGAGGAACGGCGUUGCCGGUGGGAAGCACCUGGAGCCCAUGGCGAUCGCUCUAGAAGCCAAUCUAAUCAAGACAAGAAAAUGAGAUGCCACAAGUAAAGCAAAAUAAACACAUUUGACUACAGCUCUAUGAUGAAAGCAAUCCUGCUCAAGAGGUGUCCUACAGAGACAUGGUCAUGAGAAUACUAUUUACCUAGUACUACUGAAAGCCUCAAUCAAUCAAUUAAUCAAUCAAUCAUCAAUCAAGAGGAUAAGCAAGAUAUCAUUGCCAG
rnacentral:lncRNA from 1 species